rnacentral:rRNA from 1 species
GACGAACGCUGGCGGCGUGCUUAACACAUGCAAGUCGAACGGCAAGGCCCUGCUUUUGUGGGGUGCUCGAGUGGCGAACGGGUGAGUAACACGUGAGUAACCUGCCCUUGACUUUGGGAUAACUUAAGGAAACUGGGGCUACUACCGGAUCGGAGACCCUGCAGCAUGGUGGGGGUUGGAACGUUUCGGCGGUUGGGGAUGGACGAGCGGCUUACCAGCUUGUUGGUGGGGGAGUGGAUUACCAAGGCUUUGACGGGUAGCCGGCCUGUGAGGGUGAACGGCCACAUGGGGACUAAGAGACGGCCCAGACGCGUACGGGAGGCAGCGGUGGGGAGUAUUGCACAAUGGGCGGGAGCCUGAUGCGACAACGCCGCGUGCGGGAUGACGGCCUUCGGGUUGUAAACCGCUUUCGCCUGUGACGAAGCGGUAGUGACGGUAAUGGGUGAAGAAGCACCGGCUAACUACGUG